rnacentral:rRNA from 1 species
UGCGUAGGCGGUUUGGUAAGUCUUGUGUGAAAUCUUCGGGCUCAACUCGAAGUCUGCACGAGAAACUGCCGGGCUUGAGUAUGGGAGAGGUGAGUGGAAUUUCCGGUGUAGCGGUGAAAUGCGUAGAUAUCGGAAGGAACACCUGUGGCGAAAGCGGCUCACUGGACCAUAACUGACGCUGAGGCACGAAAGCUAGGGGAGCAAACAGGAUUAGAUACCCUGGUAGUCCUAGCCCUAAACGAUGAUCGCUUGGUGUGACGGGUACCCAAUCCCGCCGUGCCGCAGCUAACGCGUUAAGCGAUCCGCCUGGGGAGUACGGUCGCAAGGCUGAA